UACAUUAUAACUUUAGAAGUAUCGAUUUUGAUAAAUAUUUUGCCCCCUCACCAUUAUUCCAAUUUUGUAUUCCAACUAAAUAUAAUAAGAGUGUUCUAUUCUGCCCUGAGAGUAUUUUAUUAUGGCAUAAAAGUGUAAAAUUGAGCUGCAUAUAUAUUCGCAUUCAAACGAACAAAGAUUAAUACCUAAUUAAAAUGUUCUAUUAUGCCCCGAGGGGGUAAAUUAGAUGUCCACGUUCACAAGAACGAAAACCGGAACAACAUUAAGCUACUCAAUUGCGGCCAAACAGUAUAAAUUUGCGACGAGUACUUUUUCUCAUUCAAACGAACAAAGAUUAAAACCUGAUAAGAGUAUUCUAUUAUAUUAUAAGCAUGUAAAAUUGUAACGAAUACAUGUUCGCAUUCAAAUGAACAAAAAUUAUAACCUGAUAAGAGCGUUCUAUUAUACUCUAAGAGUGUUCUAUUAUACCAUAAGAGUAUAAAAUUACAACGCAUACAUGUUCGUAUUAAAAUAAACAAAAAUUAAAACCUAAUAAGAGUGUUCUAUUAUGUCCUGAGAGUAUUCUAUUAUGGCACAAGAGUGUAAAAUUGUAAGGCAUACAUGUUUGCAUUCAAACGAACAAAAAUUAAAACCUGAUAAGAGUAUUCUAUUAUGCCCUAAGAGUGUUUUAUUAUGCCAUAAGAGUGUAAAAUUGCGACGCAUACAUAUUCGCAUUCAAGUGAAUAAAAAUUAAAACCUGAUAAGAGUAUUCUAUUAUGUCAAAAGAGUAUUCUAUUAUGAUAUAAGAGUGUAAAAUUAUAACACAUACAUUCGCAUUCAAACGAACAAAAAUUAUAACCUAAUAAGAGUGUUCUAUUAUACUCUAAGAGUAUUUUAUUAUGGCAUAAGAGUAUAAAAUUACAACGCAUACAUGUUCGCAUUCAAAUAAACAAAAAUUAAAAUAUGAUAAGAGUGUUCUAUUAUUCUAAGAGUGUAAAUUUGUAACGAAUAUAUAUCCACAUUCAAACGAAUAAAAUUUAAUCAUAUGCGUGAUCUAUAAACC
rnacentral:lncRNA from 1 species